GACGAACGCUGGCGGCGUGCUUAACACAUGCAAGUCGAGCGGAAAGGCCACUUCGGUGGUACUCGAGCGGCGAACGGGCGAGUAACACGUGAGUAAUCUGCCCCCCACUUUGGGAUAGCCACCGGAAACGGCGAUUAAUACCGGAUAUGACCCUUGACCGCAUGGUUGUGGGUGGAAAGUUUUUCGGUGGGGGAUGUGCUCGCGGCCUAUCAGCUUGAUGGUGGGGUAAUGGCCUACCAUGGCUUCGACGGGUAGCCGGCCUGGGAGGGUGACCAGCCACACUGGGACUGAGACACGGCCCAGACUCCUACGGGAGGCAGCAGUGGGGAAUAUUGGACAAUGGGCGGAAGCUUGAUCCAGCAACGCCGCGUGAGGGAUGACGGCCUUCGGGUUGUAAACCUCUUUCAGUACCGACGAAGCGAAAGUGACGGUAGGUACAGAAGAAGCACCGGCCAACUACGUGCCAGCAGCCGCAGUAA
rnacentral:rRNA from 1 species